rnacentral:misc_RNA from 1 species
CUUCCGACGGUGCUUGCAACACUUGCAUAUGUCUGCACGGCCGAAAGAUCUGCACUAUGACACAUUGCACUGACAGAACUGCAGACUGGACAACCCGUCUUGCUGCUGCUCACAACCGUAAUGCCGCAUGUCCCAAAGGUACCUUCAUCCACAACCCGAACCAGCCCUGCAGUAUAUGUCUUUGUGGCGGCAACGAUCCAGGGUCCCACAAUAUGUGCUUCACAGAUGCCAAGUGUGUCAAACAAGUC